UAGAGUUCGAUCAUGGCUCAGGAUGAACGCUGGCGGCGUGCCUAAUACAUGCAACUCGAGCGAAUGGAUUAAGAGCUUGCUCUUAUGAAGUUAGCGGCGGACGGGUGAGUAACACGUGGGUAACCUGCCCAUAAGACUGGGAUAACUCCGGGAAACCGGGGCUAAUCCGGAUAACAUUUUGAACCGCAUGGUUCGAAAUUGAAAGGCGGCUUCGGCUGUCACUUAUGGAUGGACCUCGUCGCAUUAGCUAGUUGGUGAGGUAACGGCUCACCAAGGCAACGAUGCGUAGCCGACCUGAGAGGGUGAUCGGCCACACUGGGACUGAGACACGGCCCAGACUCCUACGGGAGGCAGCAGUAGGGAAUCUUCCGCAAUGGACGAAAGUCUGACGGGAACAACGCCGCGUGAGUGAUGAAGGCUUUCGGGUCGUAAAACUCUGUUGUUAGGGAAGAACAAGUGCUAGUGAAUAAGCUGGCACUUGACGGACCACCCAGAACCCGCACCU
rnacentral:rRNA from 1 species